GUACGUUAGCGACAGAAGAAGCACCGGCUAACUCCGUGCCAGCAGCCGCGGUAAUACGGAGGGUGCGAGCGUUAAUCGGAAUUACUGGGCGUAAAGCGCAUGCAGGUGGUUUGUUAAGUCAGAUGUAGAAACGGCCGGGGCUCAACCUCGGAAUAGCAUUUAGAAACUGGCAGACUAGAGUACUGUAGAGGGGGUAGAAUUUCAGGUGUAGCGGUGAAAAUGCGUAGAGAUCUGAAGGAAUACCGGUGGCGAAGGCGGCCCCCUCGGACAGAUACUGACACUCAGAUGCGAAAGCGUGGGGAGCAAACAGGAUUAGAUACCCUGGUAG
rnacentral:rRNA from 1 species